rnacentral:rRNA from 2 species
GGGGAAUAUUGCACAAUGGGCGAAAGCCUGAUGCAGCAACGCCGCGUGAAGGAAGAAGGUCUUCGGAUCGUAAACUUCUGUCCUUGGGGAAGAUAAUGACGGUACCCUUGGAGGAAGCCCCGGCUAACUACGUGCCAGCAGCCGCGGUAAUACGUAGGGGGCAAGCGUUAUCCGGAAUUAUUGGGCGUAAAGAGUGCGUAGGUGGUUACCUAAGCAGGGGGUGAAAGGCACUGGCUUAACCAAUGUCAGCCCCCUGAACUGGGUACCUUGAGUGCAGGAGAGGAAAGCGGAAUUCCUAGUGUAGCGGUGAAAUGCGUAGAUAUUAGGAGGAACACCAGUGGCGAAGGCGGCUUUCUGGACUGUUACUGACACUGAGGCACGAAAGUGUGGGGAGCAAACAGGAUUAGAUACCCUGGUAGUCCACACCGUAAACGAUGAGCACUAGGUGUCGGGGUCGCAAGACUUCGGUGCCGCAGUUAACGCAUUAAGUGCUCCGCCUGGGGAGUACGUACGCAAGUAUGAAACUCAAAGGAAUUGACGGGGACCCGCACAAGCAGCGGAGCAUGUGGUUUAAUUCGAAGCAACGCGAAGAACCUUACCAGGACUUGACAUCCCUCUGAAAGCCGUGAUAACGAUCGGCCCUCUUCGGACAGAGGAGACAGGUGGUGCAUGGUUGUCGUCAGCUCGUGUCGUGAGAUGUUGGGUUAAGUCCCGCAACGAGCGCAACCCUUGCUGUUAGUUGCCAUCAUUGAGUUGGGCACUCUAACGGGACUGCCGGGGAUAACUCGGAGGAAGGUGGGGAUGACGUCAAAUCAUCAUGCCCCUUAUGUUCUGGGCUACACACGUGCUACAAUGGUCGGUACAAAGAGUAGCAAGACCGUGAGGUGGAGCAAAUCUCAAAAACCGAUCCCAGUUCGGAUUGCAGGCUGCAACUCGCCUGCAUGAAGUUGGAGUUGCUAGUAAUCGCGAAUCAGAAUGUCGCGGUGAAUGCGUUCCCG